ACCACUGUGCUUGGCUGACUGAGUUCACAAAUCUCUUGUAACCUGUAGCUUCCCUAUCGCUUCUCUGGCUCUCCUUUCUUGCUAAACUUUGUUUCCUGGCAGUGAUUAAAAUCUUCUGCCAGUGCCAUGGCUACUGCUGCUACUGGAACCACCAUAGCCACCUUGGUUUUGUGAACCCAUUUAUGCCUGGUGUUCCAUUAUUGGAACGCUAAGCAUGUGGGAGUUAUUUAUGUUCUCCUGUUCAAGGUCAUCGCCAAGGUCUGAUUUUUCAAAUUCAAAAAGUGCAACCUCAGGCAUAAAUUGGUUAAAAUCUUCUGCCAGUGCCAUGGCUACUGUUGCUACUGGAACCACCGUAGCCACCUUGGUUUUGUAAAGUAAAGUUUGGCAAAGUAUUGUUCUCCACCACCAUAAGGGCCAGAGCUUCUGCCUCCAAAGUUUCCUCCCUUUAUGGGUCCAAAAUUUGAAGGCUGAUUGUUGUAAUUGCCAAAAUCAUUGGAGCUUCUGCCACCUCCAGAAUUGAUUCCAUCAUUACCAAAUCCAUUACAGCCAUCCCUGCUGCCACUGUAUCCACCGCCACCGCUGUGGACAGCUGCCACCAAAGCCAUCAUGACCACUGAAAUUUCCUCCAUGACUGAAGUUGUCAUUCCCACCAAAACCACCUCCACAACCACCACCAAAGUUUCCAGAAGCACUUCGACCUCUUUGGCUGGAUAAAGCACUAGCCAUCUCUUGCUUUCACAGGACUUCCCUAACUUCACAGUUGUGGCCAUUCACAGUAUGGUAUUUCUGAGUGACAGUCUUGUCCACAGGGUCAUGGUUGUCAAAGGCUACGAAGGCAUAGCCCCUUUUCUUGGCACUACCUCUGUCAGUCAUGAUUUCAGUCACUUCAGUUUUUCCAUACUGUUCAAGAUCUCUUAGGCGAUGUUCUUCAAUGUCUUCUUUAAUGCCGCCAACAAAUAUCUUUUUCACAGUUGGGCACCUCGUCUUUGAGAAUCUUCUCGAGACAGCUCUUUGGUUCCACAACUCUUCAUCCACCUUGUGUGGCUUUGCGUUCAUGGCGCAUCCACCUCCUUCACAGCAGCAUACAGGACAAACCCAAAGCCCCAGAGUGCUUGGUGCUUGGAUCUCAUGACUACACAGUCCACGAGCGUUCCCCAUCGCUCAGAUUGGCUUCUCAGGUUCUCAUCAGUUGUUUCAAAGCUCAGCCCUCCAGUGCCGAGAUUCCACAGUCGGCCCUCCGGUGAGGAGCUUCCACAGCUGUUUAGGCUCUUUGGGAGAUUCUGACUUAGGCUGGCGUGCAGUAGUGUGAUCUCGGCUCACUGCAACCUCUGACUCCUGGGCUCAGGUGAUCCUCCCACCUCGACCUCCCAAGUAGCUGGCACUACAUGUGUGUGCCCCCAUACCUGGCUAAUUUUUGUAUUUUUUGUAGAGAUGGGGGACUCGCCAUGUUGCCCAGGCUGGUCUUGAACUGGGUUCAAGCAAUCCACCUGCCUCAGCUUCCCAAAGUGCUAGGAUUACAGGCGUGAGCCACAGUGCCUGGCCUAUGGUAUUUUUGGUGUAGCAGCCAGCACAUAGAUUUUUAACCAGGAGCUGGAUCCCUUACCCAGCACUUAGGACAGGCACAUAGCAGCGCUCAGUAUUUAUUGAACCAGUUAGUGGAUGGAUGGAUGGAUGGAUGAAUGAAUGGAUGAGUGUACAGAGGCUGGAAGGUGAAGUGAAGUAAGCUUUCUGUUUAAGAUGGAAGGGACUUCAUGUUUAAAAGUUGAUGGAUGCAGUUUCAGAGAGUGAGAACAUGUUCACUAGAGGAAAAAGCCCAAUAGCAUAAAUUCCCUGAGCAGGUAAGGGGUUGGCUGUAAAGCAGGGUGGACAGGUGGAUCUCAGCUCUGUGGGAACCAGGAAAGGACGAGAGCAUGGGUGUUCUUAGUUGGUGUGUUUGGUGGUUUGGUAGCAGCAGGAAGGUAAGGGAGUUCACACUGAUGGCUUUGGGUUUCUGUGUGUGAAGUAGGGGAAGUUGUCUGCUAAGAAUGGAAGUGUGGGGCAGGAAGUGGAGGUUUGAAGUGGUUUAGAGUAAAAUGGACGUUGAGAUAAAGCAAGAAGCCUUAGAUUGCCAGGCAGCAAUGUGCAGGCCAUGGGGGGCUGAUGAGGACUGGCUCAGGACCCCCCUGCCCUGUGCCUGACUCCACCCAGCAGUGCUCAGCUCAGCACCUCCUGGAGCAGGAGGAGGGAAAGCUGCGCUCUGGUGGGAUUUUACCAGGUGGAGGCAGCGGAAAGGGAAUUUGAAUGUCCUGUUGAAGCCGCUGAAAAAACAGAGAAAGGCCGGAUGAGGAGUUCAGGAGGCCAAGGAGUCAGCACGGUGGGGCCGAGGAAUCAGCCUGCUGCCAGAAGAAACGGGUCGGAGAGCGGCAGCCGGAAUUUUGGCGAUGGUGUAAUUUCGAGCAGGAAGACUGCCCUGGGCUGGGUCACUGAGUGGAGUGGAGGGGAAAGGCCAGUGGAGAUUAGGGGAUGCUGCACAGAAAGGCCAGGCUGCCCACGCGGACGUGGAAACCGUGCCGCAUGCUGCACAGAAAGGCCAGGCUGCCCACGCAGACGUGGAAACCGUGCCGCCUGCUGCAAGGAUCUGGGUAGGCCCCGCGAUCAAGAGUCCUGAAUGAGGAGGAGAAAGAGGGUGGCUCUCGGAAGUGUGGACCCCAGCAGCGGGUGUGGGGAGCGGGCAGUUCUGCCUGGAAUGGGCCUGAGGGUCUGCGGAUGUCUGUUUCUUUUUCUCACUUGUCUGCACAACUUUGACUUUUUAUACCCACUGCUAUUUUGAAAAAGGAGUGGGAGGAAUACUGGAUUCAGUGUCAUCAUUCGUGGAAAGCCACAAGUGUUUCCUAUGUUUAGAUGGCAGAAGCCCAGGGGCAAGGCUCAGGUCCUUCCAGCUGUGCUGUCUCCUGGCGAUCCGUGGAUUAGAGCUGUUCCUCAGCUUCUCCGUCCUUAAAGGGAUCAAUACACGGAAGAUGGCAAUAGGAGGAAAAAAUACCUACUAUUAUACAAAUAGCCGUGCUGUUUCCUUGCUGAGAGAAAAACUGGCUAUUGAAAAGCAGCGAUUGAACUUGUGAACAAUGGGGUGAUUUGAACUUGCAAAAGAAGGAAAAAUGGAUGCUUUUUCCUCUCACUAAAUCCUCACAGCAUUGUGGACUCACACGAACCUUUAGAAAUCAUUAUUCUUUCCAUUUUUAAUUGACAAAUAAAAGUUAUAUACAUUUA